ensembl:lncRNA
CUAGCUAGUACUGGUGGGAAUUCUCUACAACAAAAUGCACAACAAAUAUUCUCCAAAAACCGCUGCAUCUUAUGUGUGAUGUUCGAACAACAUUUAUAAACAAUUUGAUAUAAAUUGUACAUUUAAAUCAUCACUUGAGAGUAUAAAAAUCACUUUUGAUGUACAGUGCUUUGCAACCAACAACUUACCGCUGGUUUGGUGCUUGUUCACUGGGACGAUUCUAACUGGAACAUCCCCCCUCGUAAGCAAGCUACGCAAACCAGCCAAUAAGAUGCCAUGUAGAGUAGGUGAAGGCAAGACAAACUCAAACCAAAAACCCAUUAGCUUAACAAUAAAGUGGCAAGGGGAAUCACCAAUAUAACCCUGUUACACCGGCAACAACAUCACUGGACCAGACAGGACUGGCAAAAAUCACGUUCUGUGCGUGAUUUCCUGCAAGACAGGAUUGUCAGUGUUCUGCCUGGCCAGUGAAGAGCCUGGAUCUCAAUCCCAUUGAGCACAUCUGGGAGCUGUUGGAUCAGAGGGCUUGGGCCAUUCCACCCAGAAAUGUCCGGGAACUUGCAGGUGCCUUGGUGGAAGAGUGGGGUAACAUCUCACAGCAAGAACUGGCAAAUCUGGUGCAGUCCAUGAGGAGGAGAUGCACUGCAGUACUUAAUGCAGCUGGUGGCCACACCAGAUACUGACUGUUACUUUUGAUUUUGACCCCCUGUUUGUUCAGGGACACAUUAUUCAAUUUCUGUUAGUCACAUGUCUGUGGAACUUGUUCAGUUUGUGUCUCAGUUGUUGAAUCUCGUUAUGUAUAUACAAAUAUUUACACAUGUUAAGUUUGCUGAAAAUAAACGCAUUUGACAGUGAGACAUUACUUUUUUAAAAGUUUAUUAACUUGAAAUCCAAUGACAUGAGGUAUGUGUUUGUGUUUGUGUGUGUGGGGGGGGUCUGGGGUUGGAACUCAAUAGGAAUGUGGGGGGUCUGGGGUUGGAACAAUAUGAUGUAGGAGGGGUCUGGGGUUGGAACAAUAUGAUGUAGGAGGGGUCUGGGGUUGGAACAAUAUGUAGGAGGGGUCUGGGGUUGGAACAAUAUGAUGUAGGAGGGGUCUGGGGUUGGAACAAUAUGUAGGAGGGGUCUGGGGUUGGAACAAUAUGAUGUAGGAGGGGUCUGGGGUUGGAACUCAAUAGGAAUGUCGGGGGGUCUGGGGUUGGAACUCAAUAGGAAUGUCGGGGGGGGUCUGGGGUUGGAACUCAAUAGGAAUGUGG